rnacentral:rRNA from 1 species
UCGGGAAUUUUGGGCAAUGGGCGAAAGCCUGACCCAGCAACGCCGCGUGAAGGAUGAAGUAUUUCGGUAUGUAAACUUCGAAAGAAUAGGAAGAAUAAAUGACGGUACUAUUUAUAAGCUCCGGCUAACUACGUGCCAGCAGCCGCGGUAAUACGUAGGGAGCAAGCGUUGUUCGGAUUUACUGGGCGUAAAGGGCGCGUAGGCGGCGCGGUAAGUCACUUGUGAAAUCUCUGAGCUUAACUCAGAACGGCCAAGUGAUACUGCAGUGCUAGAGUGCAGAAGGGGCAAUCGGAAUUCUUGGUGUAGCGGUGAAAUGCGUAGAUAUCAAGAGGAACACCUGAGGUGAAGACGGGUUGCUGGGCUGACACUGACGCUGAGGCGCGAAAGCCAGGGGAGCAAACGGGAUUAGAUACCCCGGUAGUCCCUGAGCGGGCUGGCAAGGCGCAU